GAUGAACGCUGGCGGCGUGCCUAAUACAUGCAAGUCGAGCGAACAGACGAGGAGCUUGCUCCUCUGACGUUAGCGGCGGACGGGUGAGUAACACGUGGAUAACCUACCUAUUAGACUGGGAUAACUUCGGGAAACCGGAGCUAAUACCGGAUAAUAUAUUGAACCGCAUGGUUCAAUAGUGAAAGACGGUUUUGCUGUCACUUAUAGAUGGAUCCGCGCCGCAUUAGCUAGUUGGUAAGGUAACGGCUUACCAAGGCAACGAUGCGUAGCCGACCUGAGAGGGUGAUCGGCCACACUGGAACUGAGACACGGUCCAGACUCCUACGGGAGGCAGCAGUAGGGAAUCUUCCGCAAUGGGCGAAAGCUUGACGGAGCAACGCCGCGUGAGUGAUGAAGGUCUUCGGAUCGUAAAACUCUGUUAUUAGGGAAGAACAAAUGUGUAAGUAACUAUGCACGUCUUGACGGUACCUAAUCAGAAAGCCACGGCUAACUACGUG
rnacentral:rRNA from 1 species